GACGAACGCUGGCGGCGUGCUUAACACAUGCAAGUCGAACGGCAAGGCCCUGCUUUUGUGGGGUGCUCGAGUGGCGAACGGGUGAGUAACACGUGAGUAACCUGCCCUUGACUUUGGGAUAACUUCAGGAAACUGGGGCUAAUACCGGAUAGGAGCUCCUGCUGCAUGGUGGGGGUUGGAAAGUUUCGGCGGUUGGGGAUGGACUCGCGGCUUAUCAGCUUGUUGGUGGGGUAGUGGCUUACCACGGCUUUGACGGGUAGCCGGCCUGAGAGGGUGACCGGCGACAUGGGGACUAAGAGACGGCGCAGACGCCUACGGGAGGCAGCAGUGGGGAGUAUUGCACAAUGGGCGGAAGCCUGAUGCAGAAACGCUGCGUGCGGGAUGACGGCCUUCCGGUUGUAAACCGCUUUCGCCUGUGACGAAGCGUGAGUGACGGUAAUGGGUAAAGAAGCACCGGCUAACUACGUG
rnacentral:rRNA from 1 species